rnacentral:lncRNA from 1 species
CAAGAGGGAAGAAAGUUCAUAUUAUAGAUACUCCUAGUUGAAAAGGUCCAACAAGUCGCCCUGUCGUCCUGAACCUCUACAGAUGGCUCCUGGUGAUGGCUGCGUGAUAAAUUGUGCAUGAAAAAAAAAAAAUGUGUGCUGUGAACGCAGUUUGACAUUUCCUGACAUUUCAUGAACUAAUUACACUACAAAUAAUUAAGCAUGUUCACAUCUGUAACAAACGAAGGCAAAAUGGUUGUCAGCGGGCGUGAUUGAUGACUUCCCUGAGAUUUGAUCUGAUGAGAUUCUCCCCAUCGUGGGCAGAAGCCCGACGCCACGGUGUUUGCAAUCAUGCCUUCAGCCCUUUUCAUGAGAUCACACCGACGAGAUGCUUGAAGAAAAGGAUGGGAAAAUUAAUGACUACAUUGAAAUAUUUGCAUUUUUCCAGGGCUGGAAAAAACAAUGAACAAGAGAUGUGACAACCUCAAUUAUCUGGUGGUGCUAAGAGCUCGGAGACAGCUCCUGCUGAAGAGAGCUGUUGGGAAGCCCGGGGGUGUCAGCCUGGCUGGAAAAAUGGCAGGUGACAAGGACAACAUUUUUUUUACGCUACAUAGGCCCACAGAAGCUCAGCUAAAAAGACAAAUUGCAGGAGUAAUUUCUUAUGGAGGGGGAAAUUUGUCAGCAUUUAAGCUUGUUCUUCCACAAAGGUUGGACUGGGGUUUGAAAAUAAGCUGGGAAAGCAGACAAAGGAAUGCAAUCUGAUAUCUGCCAAUCGAUUCAACUGCCAGUGGCUGGGUCUUCUUUGUUUAACAUGGUUUGGGGCUUUCUGUGUAGGCUGCACACUGUACGGAACCGAACACUUCCUGCCCACUGGGAAGUCAUUUGGAAGGGACCCCGGUCUGCUGGAGACUUAAUCUGGCUUUUUCCAAAGCCAGCUCCAGCCCGUUUUCUGGGCAAAUUUCCCUACUGAAGUUGCCCAAACAAAUGGAUUUAUCAUCACACACGAUGCCAGCAAAGAGGCUCCAGGAGCCAGAAUGCAAGCAUAAAAUAAAAUAAAUGCCUUUGGAUAAGGGAGAUGGCAAAGCAUCUCUCUCUGUUGAGGUCUUUGCCAAUGACACCCUGGCAACCCAAAAUGGCAACAUGGAGUUUUUGAAGAUUAAUUUUUAAAGUGCAAAGCACAUUCCAUUCUAUGAAGUCCUCCCACAAUUUUAAUUUCUCAAUGUAUUUGUCUGUUGUUUUUAAAUGGAAUAAACAA